AAUGGGCUUCAUUAAGCCUGUCUCUAUGACUGUGAGAACAAGGGCAUCAUUUCUUCUAGGUGUCUGUCUUCCUCACCUCUGAAUACGAUGAUGGACGAAGGAUUUCGAAGGUUCCUCGCAACCACACAAUUCGGCUCUUCUCUCCAACGGUUGAGGAAAAUGAUGAAGUCUGUUAGCUUUGUGUGGGGGGACCGGAGAAGACAAGGGACUUGCCCAGGCUCCCAGCCCGAGUCCACAGCUGGGCUGGGCGAAACUUAUCUGCUGCCCCAUGCCGCCUGCUCAGAAUCAAAUCAGAAUGCCACCAACGCCGGGAUUAUGUAAUUCCAGGCUCUCCUCGGCAAACAUGACCACCCACAUCACCGGCCAGAACACACACAGCCCGUCGAAGCCGCCACCUGGUCCGAUUUAUCAUCAGGACUCCAUUUGAACACCCCAGAAUAACACAAAAGAUGGGAAACCAAAGCCAUUUACACGGACAGAGUUCCGUGGAAGGCGAUGUUGUGACGGAGAGCACGCAGGGGUCUGAACCACGGCACUCCUUACGUAACAUCUCGGGGGCGCGCGCUAGGACAAUUUCCCAUUUGACUCUGGGUAGCACCCACAAGCACGUGGGCUUUCCUCUAAAGCAGACACGGCACGGGCUGUUCACUACAAUGAUGGCACUGAGCCGAAUCGGGGGCUGCUUCUCCACCUUUCUCCUGACCCCCUCCCCUUUCUGGGCCCGGACUCCCCUUGCCGUUAAAAUAAGGAGAUGGUCCUGGGUGGCUUUUUAUUUCAGCUCUACCCUUUCAUGACUUUGCAAUUCUGCAUUUGAUUUACAGACUAAGGAGAAAUUCGUUCUUUCCGUGAGGGAACGAAAACUGUGGCACUUGGAGAUUCGGUCAGGGGGGUCUGAAACCAGCCUCUUCCAAGAUAUUUAGGCGGUCUGAUUGUUUUAGAUCUCCAUCUGAGUAUCAGCCUUUUAUUUUCUGCUCUUCUUAAUCAAAUUCAUUCAUCAGUUUUUCUCAGCAGUUCAGCAAUCAUUUAUUUUCUAGAAAAAUUACAGAUGCAUUCCCUUAACCCCCCCAUAAACCCCCUUCGAGGAAUUCAUCCCCAAUUCACACUGGCAACCCCUAUGAAACAGUGUGGCUCAGGUUAUUCCAACAGACUGGAAACAACCCAAAUGUUCAUUGAUAGAGGACUGGCUGUCCCAACUGCAGUCCAUGCACAUCGACAAGUGCCAUGUAGCUGUAAAAAAAAAAAAAAAAAAGAGAAAAAAUAGGGAAUAUCUUUAUAUAGUGACAAAACAGACAGCUCUGGGAAAAUUAAGGGGAAAAAAAGCAAAGUGCAGGACAGCAUAUGCAGUAGGCUCCCUUUUGCAUAAGAUAGAGGAAGAGGAAUAAAGACACACAUUUAUGUAUAUCUGGAAUGAGAAACACUGGAGGGAUAAUGAAAAAUGGCUAAAUACAGGAGAGGCAUGGAACAGAACAGAGGGAAGCUGUAUGGGGUCCAGAAAUUCUCUACUUGUUACAUCCUUUUUGACUGUGGAAUCAUCUAAAAGUUGUGUAGGUUUUAAAAAUAAAAUUGAUCAACACAAAGAAAGCAAUCCCUAAGAACUGAAAACAAAGGCACUUAACAAAUGUAUCAAUCACACUGAGAAAAAUCUGUAAAGGGACUUCUGGUUAUGUCUCCAUGUCCGACCAGGAGAGAGAUCUAGUCUCCUCCACCCACCCGCCACCUCCCACACUCACAGCUUUUUACAGUGAAGCUCUUCAAACCUACAAAAAGGUUGAAAGAACAGUACAGUGAACACCAUAUCCCCUUCACCAUUCAGUAUUUUCCACAUCUGCUUUCCUCUCACACAUACACACACACGUAAACACACAUACACAGAGACGCACAUACACACACACACGUUUUUGUUUCUGAUGCAUUCGAAAUUAUAAACUUUGACACUUCACUCCCAUCAGUCCAGAAGAUUCUGGAAGAUUCCCCAGAGUGUGAUCACAGUGUCCUCACCACACUCGAGAAUGAAGAGCACUUCAGUACCAUCCAAUGGUCAGUCUACCCUGAUCUCUUCGGUUUCCCCAAAAUGCCCUUUUGGAUGUUAAAAAUUGGGAUCUAAUCAGCAUCCAUGCCUCCCAUUUGGCUGCUAUAUUUUUAUAACCUCUUUUCAUCUAAGAACAGCCCCCGGCCUUUCCGUUGUUGUUUUUGUUGUUUUCCACAACAUUAACUUUCCUGAAGAAUCCAGGCCAGGUGGCUUGUAAAAUGCUCUAGAUGGGUAUGAUUAUCUCCUUAUAGUCAUAUUCAAGUUUAAAUAUUUUUGUUUAAAACAUAAAGAAGUCUAUUUUCUAGUUCAGUCCACAAAAAAAAAAAAAAAAA